CCUCGGCCCUUCUCAUCUUCCAGGCGCAUGCUCCGUCCACUAGACCUCCCUGCUUCUCCCUCCUGUUCUCCCUCCCCUUCAGACCAUAAGCUCCUUAGGAGGUGGGGACUGGGUUCUAUCUGAUGACCCCAAUGCUUGACACAUUGUAAAUACUUAAUGAAUGUGGUUGUUAUUUGUUAUUAUUGUUGUUAUUAUCAUCAUUCCUGUCAUCAAAGAGGGAAGCAUUAUGGCCUAGUGGAUAAAGCAUGGGUCUGGGAGCCAGAGGACUGGCAUCUAAUCCUGACUUCACCACUUGUGUGCUGUGAGACCUUGUGCAAGGCACUUUACGUCUCUGGGCCUCGGUUUCCUCAGCAGCAGAAUGGGGAUUGAAUACCUGCUUAGACUGUGAGACCCAUGUGGGGACAGGAACUGUAUCCAGCCUGAUUUACUUGCAUCUGCCCCUGCGCUUAAAACAAUGCUUGACAUAUAGUAAGUGCUUAACAGAUACCAUAAAAAAAUACCUCUAAAAAGAAAAGUAAAAGCCUUUCCCUCGGAGGGUAUCGUGAAGAAUAACUGGCUAUAGUGGACGCGGUACACGUUUCAAAUCCCAGAUGCUGCAGAAAACCCAAUAAAUAGAAGGAUGUCAUGGAAAAAUCUCAGUAAUCCCCAUUUCUUGACCCAGAAUUUGGAUCCAGAUCAGACCGAGCUACGUAUGAACUAUUUAUUGGAUCCAGAUUGAAAGAAUGAAACUUUUCUCUGCAAGCCUCCUGAUGCCUUGCUCUUUGUUUGGAUUCCAGGAUUUCUCCUUCCCGUCGCGGACCUGUCCAACAAGGGGGCUCGAUCGGACCCUCCCUUCCAGGGGCAAGAUCACAGUCAUCGGAUCAAUGUUUCCUCUCCUGGAUGCAACCUCCUCUUACAUUUUUAGAAUGAGAAAAGAAGUCAUAGCUACGGGGUCUAAACCAUGUGGUUUACAGAGAAUCUUUCUGCCAUCCUGCCCCGAUCCUGAAGUGUGUAGCUACAGAACUGCUGAAGAUUGGAAAAGCACAUUAAAAAAAAAGAUCCUAUCUCAGAGGCAUGGGGGACAAGGUGGUUUUUAUUUGUACAAUACAUUUUUUUUAAAGGAAAAAAAUGACUGCCUUCACGGGGAGUGA
rnacentral:lncRNA from 1 species